ACGGAGGGUGCAAGCGUUAUUCGGAUUUAUUGGGCGUAAAGGGCGUGUAGGCGGUUUGAAUAGUCAGGUGUGAAAGCCCUUGGCUUAACCAAGGAAGUGCACUUGAAACUUUCAGACUUGAGUACGGGAGGGGGAAGUGGAAUUCCUGGUGUAGAGGUGAAAUUCGCAGAUAUCAGGAGGAAUACCGGUGGCGAAGGCGACUUCCUGGACCGAUACUGACGCUGAGACGCGAAAGCGUGGGGAGCAAACAGGAUUAGAUACCCUGGUAGUCCACGCCGUAAACGAUGGGCACUAGGUGUAGCGGGUAUUGACCCCUGCUGUGCCGAAGUUAACGCAUUAAGUGCCCCGCCUGGGGAGUACGGCCGCAAGGUUG
rnacentral:rRNA from 1 species